rnacentral:rRNA from 1 species
GAUGAACGCUAGCGGCAGGCCUAAUACAUGCAAGUCGAACGGAUAUAUGUUUUUCGGAAUAUAUAUUAGUGGCGCACGGGUGAAUAACACGUACAUAACUUGCCCUCAAGCGGGGGAUAGCCUUGGGAAACUGAGAGUAAUACCCCCAUAGAAUUAUUGGACGGCAUCGUUUGAUAAUUAAAACUACGGUGCUUGGGGAUAGAUGUGCGUCUGAUUAGCUAGUUGGUGAGGUAACUGCUCACCAAGGCGACGAUCAGUAGGGGGCGUGAGAGCCGUGGCCCCCCACACGGGUACUGAGACACGGACCCGACUCCUACGGGAGGCAGCAGUAAGGAAUAUUGGUCAAUGGAGGGAACUCUGAACCAGCCAUGCCGCGUGAAGGAUGACGGCCCUCUGGGUUGUAAACUUCUUUUGGUAUGGGGCGAAAAAACGGGAUUUAUCCUGGACUGACGGUACCAUCAGAAUAAGCACCGGCUAACUCCGUGCCA